CUCCUCUACCAAAAGGACAAGGAUAACACAGAUGUGCCAGAUUUGCCUGUAAUUGCUAGCUGUGAGCUUUUGUGGUGGGUGUAGGGAUGUCUGCUUAGUCAGCAACACUCUGAUGUGCCACAGGGUGUUCCAAGCCCAGCAGCUCUCAGGGGACAGCCGCACUCCAUCAGCUCCAAGGCUGAGGGGUCCAGGCAGGGCUGUGCCCUCCAUCCUCGACCUCCACUUUCCACACAGGCGUUUGAGAGAGGCCCAGAGGUCAUGGCAGCAGCAGGGAGCAGGUGGCUGUUGAUGGGAGCUGUGACCAGGUGCCAGCAUGGCGCAGUCAUAAAGCAGUGUAGAGAGGAUAACCUCAACAUGAUGCUGCACUGGCAAGCACAUGGGUACAAACAACUCCUGUAGCGCAAACUUCCAUAAAUCAGGAAGAAGAGAGCAUCAGUGGAACAGAAGAAGAAGGGG
rnacentral:lncRNA from 1 species